GAUGAACGCUGGCGGCGUGCCUAAUACAUGCAAGUCGAGCGAACGGACGAGAAGCUUGCUUCUCUGAUGUUAGCGGCGGACGGGUGAGUAACACGUGGAUAACCUACCUAUAAGACUGGGAUAACUUCGGGAAACCGGAGCUAAUACCGGAUAAUAUUUUGAACCGCAUGGUUCAAAAGUGAAAGACGGUCUUGCUGUCACUUAUAGAUGGAUCCGCGCUGCAUUAGCUAGUUGGUAAGGUAACGGCUUACCAAGGCAACGAUGAAUAGCCGACCUGAGAGGGGGGGAGGAAACACGGGAAGAGAAAAGGGGUAAGGAAGCAUAAGGGGGGAAGAAGAAGGAAUUCGUCAGAAAGGGGAGAAGGACGGAGGGAGAAACGCGGGGGGAGGAAGAAAGGUGUGGGGAAAGAAAAACUUUGUUAUGAGGAAAAAAAAUAGGGGAAAGAAAGUGUGCAAAUCUGGAGGAAACAAAAUAAGAAAACCAGGAAAAACAAGGGC
rnacentral:rRNA from 1 species